rnacentral:tRNA from 1 species
UAUCUAAUGAUAAUUAUUUAUUAUCGAACCCACGACCUUCCGCUUACCGGGCAGAUGCCAUGACCACUAGGCUACCCUGGAC